UACAUGAAGCUGGAAUCGCUAGUAAUCGCGAAUCAGAAUGUCGCGGUGAAUACGUUCCCGGGUCCUUGUACACACCGCCCGUCACACCAUGGGGUCGGGGAAUGCCCGAAGUCAGUGACCCAACCGGAAGGAGGGAGCUGCCGAAGGCAGGCUCGAUAACUGGGGUGAAGUCGUAACAAGGUAUC
rnacentral:rRNA from 1 species